UUUNUGUAGNGUAUAAGGUUAAUNUUUGCUUUANAAAGCAAAAAGUCGAUAGACACAGUUGAAACACCUUUCUUAGUUUUAUGUUAAUGUUCACCUAAUCUAUUUUACCAAGUAAAAGUGUCAUGAUUAGGGAUAAAUGACUAAUUGGCAGUUUGUCUGGGGCGGACGUCUUUAAUAGAGUAUCAGAGACAUCCACAAGGUAUGUCUUAAAUUGGAUGGAGACCAAGCAAGCCAUGAGCGGCAUAAUAAGGUAUAAUGACUUAAGCAUGCUUAACUGAGAGACCCAUAAGUCAAACAGAUACGUAAGUAGGGCAUANUGAUCCGGCG
rnacentral:rRNA from 1 species